rnacentral:lncRNA from 1 species
AAACGAACUAAAUAAAAUAAUAGGAGAAAAUGUGUAAAACACUAAAAAUAUGUUAUGGGAUAUCUUCGGUAGUCAAAGUUUCAAAGCUUUUGAGAACUUAUAUUUCAAUCAGACCAAACAAAAUGAGCACAUAAAGUUGUGUAUAACCAAUAAUGUUGUCAAAACAAUACAUUUUUUUUUUCUUUUUGCAUGUUCUAUAAAAGACCAUGCAUGCAUUAUUAAGGUUUAAAAAGCUUUUGCAUGUUCCUCAAAGCAAAGACUCUAAAAGUUCGUGAUGGUAAUGGAUAUAUCUGCAAAGCUCUUCAUAUUCAUUAACUAGAAGUAGA